CUUCCAGGACCAGGACCAGGACCUAAACAGAAGCAUAAGCUGCCCCAGACCUCCAGGACCUCCAGACGAGUCAUGAAGCUGCUCCUCCUGCUGGCAGUUGCUGCCAGCCAGAUGGAGCUCUCUGCCUCUCAGAGAGGUACUCUGAAUGCUCCUGGUGGAAACAUCGACAUCAGCG